rnacentral:lncRNA from 1 species
GGGUCAGGGCUGGGGAAGGCUGGGUUAGGGUAGGUGCAGCAUGCAGAGCCAGAGGGCAGGGGAGGGGAUCUCCAAAGCCAAGUCCAGCACCCACUCCACUGCCAGGUAUCAGGGUUUUGGCAUCAAAGGGGGCCCAGGUGAGGGGCAGGGCUGUGUUUCCCAUAGGGAGCCUUCAAGACACAGAAUCCAGCCAAUUCCACUCCUCUGCCCCAGUGAGUAGAUCCUUAGAGAGGAACAGGGACCAAAGGAGGGGCAAAGGAGGGCACUGUGUGGGGAUACCUGUGUCCUGGAGCAGGGGCGGGGAUGGCUAUGUGGGUGGGGAGCUAAGACCCAUUAGAGGAGCCCAGGCUAGAGAGAAGCAGGGUGAGUGGAGGGUCCG